rnacentral:rRNA from 1 species
GCAUGAAGUCGGAAUUGCUAGUAAUCGCGGAUCAGCAUGCCGCGGUGAAUACGUUCCCGGGCCUUGUACACACCGCCCGUCACACCAUGGGAGCCGGUAAUACCCGAAGUCAGUAGUCCAACCACGUGAGGACGCUGCCGAAGGUAGGAUUGGCGACUGGGGUGAAGUCGUAACAAGGUAGC